UACAGGGGUGCCAAGCGUUAGGCGGAAUCACUGGGCUUAAAGCGCGUGUAGGUGGACGGGUAAGUAUCUUGUGAAAUCCCACGGCUCAACCCGUGGAACUGCUGGAUAUACUGCUUGUCUUGAGGCACUUAGGGGCGAGCUGGAACAAAUGGUGGAGCGGUGAAAUGCGUAGAUAUCAUUUGGAACGCCAAAGGCGAAAGCAGGCUGCUGGGAGUGAUCUGACACUGAGACGCGAAAGCCAGGGGAGCAAACGGG
rnacentral:rRNA from 1 species